AUGGAUGACAUCAACAAGGUAGCAAAGGAUGAGGAUAUACAUAAUAUGCAGGUUGAAGACGUGAUAAAGAAAGUCGACAAGGAUACAAACACUGAGUCGGCAGAGGUGAUACAAGAAGAAUCUACUAUGGAAGAUACAGAGAAUAUGCAGAUUGAUGAGGUGAUAACCGUACAGGAGGAUACAUAUCCCGAGUCCACAAAGGCUACACAAGAGUCCAUUACGGAGGGUCCACUAAACAUGCUUUUUGAUGCUGUGAUAACCAAGGACGGAGAUACAAUCCCCGAAUCGACGGAGCUACCGAGCAAUGACGAAUCAAGUGAAAUACUCAACAAUAAUGAAGUGGAGGAAAAUAAUUGCACGGAGAGCCCAGAGAAUACACCUAUUCUUGAAGAAAACAUAGCAAACAGAGAGACCAAAGAUUCUGAACAUACACAGAAAUUAACCCACAAUGAAACAAGUCAAUAA
rnacentral:rRNA from 1 species